rnacentral:tmRNA from 1 species
GGGGGUGACAGGUUUCGAUUUAGGUCACCAAUUUAAGAGGAGCAUGCAGAGGUUGUCAGGAGGCCUCUUUAAACACCUGGCACACUAUAAGUGCUACAAACGUAGCUGCUUAAGCCGACUUAGAUUCGGCAAGCUCGCCGGCCGGUUUCCUGGGAGGCCGGGUCGAGCUCCGCGACGCAGGAUAGUCUGGUUGGGUUUGCCUUUUGACGGCCGGGCGAAGCUUGAAAAGGCUGGUCGAUUCCGAAUCCCGCCCAUCGGAGGCGGAAUCGACGAGAUCCAAAGAUUGGGACAAGCAUGUAGCGCCUUUUAAUUAGGUACUUAAAGACCCCGGUUCGAAUCCGGGCACCUCCACCA